CAGAAUGAAUCAAACAAAAUUCGA
rnacentral:miRNA from 1 species